UGGACCAAUCAUGAUGACUGGCUCAUAUGAGUUAUGAAUAACAAAUGAUAUCAAUCUAGAAUUCUGAGGUUAAC